rnacentral:rRNA from 1 species
AUUGAACGCGGGCGGCAGGCCUAACACAUGCAAGUCGAACGAGUGGCGGACGGGUGAGUAAUGGCUGGGAAACUGCCUGACGGAGGGGGAUAACUACUGGAAACGGUAGCUAAUACCGCAUACCAUCAGAUGUGCCCAGGUGGGAUUAGCUAGUUGGGGGGGUAACGGCUCACCUAGGCGACGAUCCCGAGCUGGUCGGCGAGGAUGACCAGCCACACUGCAACUGUGCCACGGUCCAGCCCCCUGCGGGAGGCCGCGAGGGUGAAUAUUGCCCAAUGGUCGAAAGCCUGCUGCAGCCAUGCCGCGUGUAUGAAGACGUCCUUCGUGUUGUAAAGUACUUUCAGCGGGGCGGCGUUACCCGCAGAAUAAGCGCCGGCUAACUCCGUGCCAGCCGCCGCGGUAAUAC